rnacentral:rRNA from 1 species
UGAUGACGAGACGCUAAGGCGUUGAAGCAGUGUAUGUCAGACUUCCAAGAAAAGCUCGCAAUGUCACAAAUAAAAAGUGCCUGUACCAUAACCGACACAGGUGGGUAGGUAGAGUAUACUAAGGGGCGCGAGAUAACUCUCUCUAAGGAACUCGGCAAAAUGACUCCGUAACUUCGGGAGAAGGAGUGCCUUAUUUAUAAGGUUGCAAUAACAAGAUCCAAGCAACUGUUUAUCAAAAACACAGGUCUCCGCUAAGUCGUAAGACGAUGUAUGGGGGCUGACGCCUGCCCAGUGCCAGAAGGUUAAGGAAGUUGGUUAGUGUAUGCAAGCUGAUGACUGAAGCCCUGGUGAACGGCGGCCGUAACCAUAACGGUCCUAAGGUAGCGAAAUUCCUUGUCGGGUAAGUUCCGACCCGCACGAAAGGCGUAAUGAUUUGGAUACUGUCUCGGAGAGAGGCUCGGUGAAAUAGACUUGUCUGUGAAGAUGCGGACUACCUGCACCAGGACAGAAAGACCCUAUGAAGCUUUACUGUAACUUGAAAUUGGGAUUGGACUUUGCUUGCGCAGUAUAGGUGGGAAGCGUUGAAAAUAUUCUUGCGGGAGUAUUGGAGCUAUCAGUGAGAUACCACUCUUGUAAUGUUAGAUUUCUAACUUUGAACCAUAAUCUGGUCAAAGAACAGUUUCAGGUGGGCAGUUUGACUGGGGCGGUCGCCUCCCAAAUGGUAACGGAGGCGUACAAAGGUUUCCUCUGAACGGAUAGAAAUCGUAUCUAGUGUAAAGGCAUAAGGAAGCUUGACUGUGAGACCUACAAGUCGAGCAGGGACGAAAGUCGGUCUUAGUGAUCUGACGGUACUGAGUGGAAAGGCCGUCACUCAACGGAUAAAAGUUACUCUAAGGAUAACAGGCUGAUCUCCCCCAAGAGUUCACAUCGACGGGGAGGUUUGGCACCUCGAUGUCGGCCCAUCGCAUCCUGGGGCGGUAGUACGUCCCAAGGGUUGGGCUGUUCGCCCAUGAAAGCGGUACGCGAGCUGGGUUCAGAGCGUCGUGAGACAGUUCGGUCCAUAUCCGGUGUAGGCGCUAGAAUAUUGAGAGGAGCCUUCUUUAGUACGAGAGGACCGAGAAGGACACACCGCUGGUGUACCAGUUAUCGUGCAAACGGUAAACGCUGGGUAGCUAUGUGUGGAGUGGAUAACCGCUGAAAGCAUCUAAGUGGGAAGCCCACCUCGAGAUGAGUAUUCUCAUC